AGGAGGGAGGAAAAGACAUUCUGCUUAUGAGUACAUUCCAAAGGAUGAUUGUCUAAAUCAAUAACAUGUUUUCCAUUCAUUAGUAUCAUAGGAUUUGGAGAGGAAUUUUAAUUCAGUCAUCUUAUUUUAGAGAUGAGGAAAUUUCAUUGUAGAGAGAGACCAAGACUUUCUCAAAAUCAUAAGAGGUAGUAAUAGACAGUUAGGAUUCAAAAUUCCCAUUUGAGUUCUAGGAUUCUUUCCAUUACACUCUAUUGGCUAGUUUUUCAAAACCAUGUGGGCCAGAAGCAGGGAUUUUUCACUUGAGAGAUGAGAAGCAAGGAUCAAGUUUUAAAGUGAAUUAAGAUGAAAUGUUCUCAUACUAUUUUACUCAUUUGGAUUUCAAUAUUAGGCAUUGGAGAGUAAACUGAAGAUAAAAUGACAAAUACCUGAUACUCAACAAAUAAAUGGUUGCUAAUUGAUUGAUUGGUUGGAGAACAAAUGUCCUUGACAGGAGAAAGAAAAAAGCCAGGUGGCUCUGUCUAACUAUGUGUCCUGAUUCUCCACACAGAAGGAGUUUUUAAAUAAAUCUUCAUUGGAAACUUAUAUCACCAAAUAUAUUAAAGGUGAAAAAUUAUACUAACAUCACCAGUUGUAUCAUUUACAUUUUGUUUUGUUGUAUUAAAAGAUUAUAUUGAGGUUGAAUGGGGUGUUUGUCACUUGGUAGCAACUUUUGGAUAAUGUAUCUUAUUUUGCUGAUGUUGAGAAACUAAUCAAUUAUAAAUCAGUUAUUCAUAUGACCUUCUUUUGCUAUAUUAUUGGAAAAUGGCAAUGUAUGAAAUAACAUUUAAUUUUGCAUAUAGCUUUCUAAACAUUAUUAAACCAAAGAGAAAAUGUAGACCUCGAACUAGAUGAGUCUAAUAAAAAUGUCACUACUGAAGUAUGACAUGAAGAGUAGUAAUUUCUGAAGAUAAUCUACAUUAUAAAACUGAUUUAAAUAGUAUAGUGCAUUUAUGACAUCUGCUUUUCUUUUAUGCACCAUCUUUGCCAAAAUCCUUCAACAAUUUCUUGUUUUAUUAACUCUUUCAAUUCUACCUUGAUUCUGGGGGAUGGAUUCUAUUUUACAGCUAGGAAAAUAAUAAUAUGAAGGACUGUAAGAUCAUCUCUAAUAUAUGAUUACUGGUACUUUCAUAUUUUGGCUGAAGUUAUCUAUUCAAUGUAAAGGUAAGAAUAAUUUCCUUCUUCCUUAGGUUUGAUGCAAAUAAAUAAUCUGUAAUAUUAUCAGCAUGAAGAACUUCCAGUGUGAGAAACCUUCACUACAAACACAAAUUCUAUUCCAUCUUUGCUUUGGUGUAGGUUAGUGCUAGGCAAUUGUGAUCAGAGGUUAAGUGAUUUAUUAAGUAUCAUGUGUAAGAAAGACAGAAUACUAACCCAGAAUCUUUCUGAUUUCAAGACCAUUAUUAUAGCAAAUAUUUCCCUUAUCAUCAAAUAAAAUAAAUCUAAUUUUAAUGUUUUUUAAUUACUAACGAAAACUUAUCACAUUUCUGAUUCUAAUAGUCAUAUUUGUUUUUCACCUAAAGAAACAAGGCCACUAUACAUUUAGAGUCUCAGUUUGGAAUUAGGAGAAGAUCCUAUUUUAUAUAAGGAAGAGUCAUAAAAUAAAUUUAAAAUUGGAGGGCCAUGAAGAUCAUUAAUUCUAACUUCUUCAUUAAACAUAUGAGGAAAGAGAGGCAAGUGACUUGCUCAAUGUCACAAAGGUAACAAAUAGGAAAGUUAGUGUUAAAAUAUAAGUUCUGUAAAUUAAAAUACAGCAUAUUUCUAUAUAGUUAAAUUUUACAAAGAAAUUUCUUCCAUAAAGGCAAAUAUAUUAAUAUCACAUUAUAAAAACACAACUACUGAACAAAAAAAAAAUUUUAGUCCCAUACAGAACCACCAAAUUCAAUGUUUUGGUCAAAUUAUUUAUUUUUAAACCUAUACAUAGAAGCAUUCAUAAAGGUAUAUGUGUGCAUAUAUAUACAUAUAUAUGGCUUAUAUAUACAUAUAUACAUGCUUACAAAUAUGUAAUUCGAUUCCUAGGUAGAUAGACAGAUAAAACACCUUCAUACUUCUGUUAUUUAAUAAUUAAAUACAUACAGUGGUCAGUGUAUUAUAUUUUUAUUGAUUGAUUUUUUUCUCCUUGAAUUAAAAAUUUAGCGUAUAGAAAGUUUUGAUUCAAAAAGUUCAGAUAUAUAUUGUCCUUUCCUUGAUAUUGUUAAUUUUUUUCUUUCAGUUUCCCUUCUUUCCUUCUCAUCUAAUGCCUUUCAGGACUCAUUCUGACUUUAGUAAUUAGUGAUAUAAUGAUUCACAACACUAUAUACUUUAAAUUUAAUUUAGUUUUGAAUUUAAAUAGUGUUGCUCAGCUUAUUAUAUGUUCAGUGGCCCAUCAUCUCAUUCAUAUUAAUAGUGUCUUCAAUGGAGCAGAUCAUAAAGCCAUUUAUACUUGCCAAUAUUGAUCCCCUCCCCCCAAAUCCUCUAAAGCAAUCUAAUGCCAUGAAGGUCUUAUAGGAUGUUAGGUAUUGCAUUGUUAUGGUGCAGCACUUGGAGAAUUAGUCCUUACUUUAGUUAUAAAUAAGCACAUUGUCCACCCCCCCCACCAUGUUCAUUUCUUUGAUGAUAUAUCUUAAACCACUUAGUGUGACCAAAGCAUGACUGAUAAAAUUUUGCAUCUAUAGAACAGUGAUGGCAAACAUAUGGCACAGGUGCCAAAGAUGGCACACAUAGUGCUCUCUGUGGGCACAUGGCCAACCCCUCUAGAACUCAUUUCUAGAAAAGUAGAGGGGCUGGGAUGGAGCUUCUCCCAUCCCUGUCUCCACUGUCUGAUGACAUUUUUUUCACUUCAAUUCCCACUUUCCACAGAAAUACAAUGGGAGUGCUUUCUCCCUCCCCUGUGUGGGGUAAGGAGGGGUGGGGCAUACCCAGACUGUGGUGGUGGGAAUAACAUGCCACACGGUCUCUGGUGGGGGCAGGCAUGGCACUUGGGAAUGGGGGGAUGGAAUGGGGGUAGGGCCUGGCAUUCCAUCUCUAAAAGGCUUGCCAUCAUAACUACAGAGGUUUCUAUUAUUCGUAGGGUCACCUACAUUUUUCUUUCAUAAAAGAUGGUUCCAUAAUGCAUAAUAAUAUAGCAUAACCAAAAGGACAUUGCUAUUAAAACAUUGGUUCUUAGAUCAACAUCAUCACUGCCUAAAUAUAUCUAGUAAUUUAACAAUAACUAAUAUUCAUAUUUGGAACUAAUAUAUUUGAAGAUUUUAAAUACUCACCUCAAAACCAGAGAGACCUGAGUUCAGGUCUUAGCUUUCAUGAAAAUUGGAUGUGACCUUGACCAAAUCAGUUCACAGCUUAGUGCUCUAGGUAAUGGAAUCAAACAAAUAAAAAUGAUGGUGGAUAUAGAAGUAGCCCCAUGGGCUACAUAUUGCCUUAGUUUUGAGAUGUAAUGUGAUCUAUUUAUAUUGGGGUUUUUUUGUUAAUUAUUUUUCACUUUCAUUUUAAUCUGGUUCUGGAGACUUCAAAGACAUCAGGAGUAUUAGGGGAAGCAUGGAGCCUGGCAUCUUUCCUCUAGGCAACUCUUCCAAGACUCAGUUAUGGAGAAGAUACCCACUCCUGGAAUUGUUAUUUUGUAAGAGAUAAAAAACUAUUGAUUCUGUGAAGGAUUUAUUACAACUACAAAAGACUUGUAAGCAAAUGCAAGAAAAUGGAAGCUUGGAGAUCUGUAAACCAGGAAGAUUCCAAAGGAGAAUGUAGCCAGGAGGAAGACAGUUUGAAUAAGCUGGCACACAAACUGAUUUUAUUCACUUAGGAAAAAGUGAAGAAAAAAGAGUCUCAAGGAAAUGAGACUCUAAGGAAGAAAGCUGACAGAGAAAUUUACUCUAUAGAUUGUCACUACUGGUUUCAACUUGAAGACUUGAGCUUAACUCUGAUGAUCUUUUCAAAUUAUUUACAAUAUUCUCUUAAAGGCAAUACAAUUCUACAUUCUUGAUAUUGAAUUUAUAAUAGAUUAGGGAAACCCAAAAUUCCCUCUAUCCUUAGUCCCCACUCCCUACCCUUUCUUCCUUUAAAAUAAAUCCUUUUACAGUAUUUUGAAGUGAAAUUAGUCUGUUUAAAGCUGGUAUAACUUACCAUCUUUGAGUAGCCAUUAGGAUCAACAGAAGAAAGCAGGAAGUGGAUUAGGGGGUAGGAGAAUUGAGAAUUCAGUCUCUCCUUCACCUUAUUUCUUAGAGUCAUUGUUCCAGCUUUUCCAUUUACCUUAAAUACCCUAGUAAUUAAGCCUCCAAUAUAAUACUGAAGAAAUUUUUGUUUUAUAUGUCAUAUCGUUCAUAUUAGUUUCAUGUCAAAUGGACAUUCUGUGUGGGUACAAAUUAUUAACUAACUAAAUCAAUCAGCAAACAUUUAUUAAGCUCUUGGGUGCUAGGUCUCAAGGUGGGUGCUGGGAAUAAAAAGAGUUCAAAUGGCACAGUCCCUGCCCCAGAAGACCUUUUAAUUUAACCAAGGAAGACAAUAUGUAUAAAUAUAAAGUUUGGGGGAGGAGAGAGUCUACUGAAUCAAGCACUCACUUCACUCCCCUUUAAGCUACUAACAAAUUACUGUGAUCUUGAUACCUUUAUUAGGUGAGAGCAUUUCUUUUGAAUGAAUAA